rnacentral:lncRNA from 1 species
UGUCAUUUGUUUGUGUAUCAUUUUCUUGAACUCACAGAGCAUCUUUAUGAUAAUUAUUUUGAACUUUUUGCCAGGUAAUUAAUAUACCUCAACUUCUUUGGGGAUGGUUUCUGAAGAUUUUUUUGUUGCAAUUGUUUGAUUGGGCCAAAUUUCCCUGUCCUUAUGUGCUUUUUACUCUGUGUUGGUGUCCUUGAAUUUGAAAACACAUGAACAUACAAACAUGUACACACACACACACACACACACAUUUCCCACUACUUACAGCCUGGCUUCUUACAGGAAAAAUAAAAACAAAAACCUUUCACUAAUCAACCCAUCUAAAUAUUCUCAGGGCCACUCAAACCUUUUCUUUGGAUGCAUCUUCUGUUGACUUGUACUAAAUUCCCAAUUAGAGGGAUAUGCAGGUUUUCUUUUUUAGGAGUUUGUAAUCUUUUGCUCUCUCUGGUAUUUGUUGACACUACUGCAGGUUCUCUGGAGCUGCCCAAGCCACCCAGCACUUAUUCUCAGAGGCCCUUUGGCUUCUACAGUAUCCUGGGUCAGGUCAGCACUCUGAAUCAGGUGAGACAGAAUCCAGACAGCUCCCUGAAAAGCCAGAACAUGAAUACACACUCCCUCUUCUCUCUCCCCUCUGAGGAAUAUGACACCGAGCUACAUCAGCUUCUGUAUGCUGUACUGUGCAUCCCCUGCCCUGUUCUAUUUUGUUCUCAUAAGACCUUACCCUAGGCAUCUAGAGUAUGCUGGGUCCCAUCAAUGAUCCAAGAUGAAUGAGAUCGAAACAAAUCCCCCACGCAGUUCUCUGAAAAUUUGAAAUACUGGAAAAAUGCUUCAACAUUUUCCCUGCCCAGGGAGAUGCUGUGAAUUGGGGGCUCUCUUCCAUUUUUUCCAUGUUAGUGGUGGGACUUGGGCAAAUAAAUGCCAUGAAAUUUCCUAUAGACUUUGAUCCAGCUGGUUACAUGCUGCCUGGGGUGUAGCUACCUGUUAACUUUUCUGGAUUUUUCACAAAGGAAAUGGUCUAUGUAUUGCUGAAUUGGUGUCUCCAUUGGAGGAAAGAGAGACUUGAGCUUCCUAUUCUUCCAUAUUGCUUAUGCUUAGGAUUGAAACUUUUUAAAUAUGUUUAGACAGUCUUAAUGUUCCUACUUCAACAAAAUUAUUGUUUAUUUCUUUCUCCAAUUUACUUCAUGUAUUGGAAUCUCCAUUAAAAGCAGAAAAAAACCCUUAUUUUCUUCAUAAGGAUUCUAUAGAAAUAAAAUUUAUGUUAAAACAAUGGUUCCUGAACACCAAUCCUCAGACAAGUGCAGAGUUAAUGGAGUCAUAAUUGAAGAAAGGUGGAAAGGGGGAAGGUGGUAAGAUUCAAAUCAGUCACUAUUCUCAAUCCAAAUGCCAAUCCAACAGUUCUGGGGUAGAGGUGAGGACUAAUGAGACAAGAAUUUAUCUAUAUUUUAAAGUUCCUUACAUGAUUUUCUUACAAGCCAGUGAGAUUUGAGCUUCAUAGCUCUAUAUGGGUAUAGACUAUAUUUAAGUUGAAAUUACCAUCCAUACUAUUGAGAAUGGAGAAUUAAUUUCAGCACAGCAGGAACAAGAGUUGAGGGUUAAUGAAGAUGUGUUCUAAGGACCCUAUAUAUUUUUGCACAGGUGAUUUUAAAAAUUCACAUCAAGAGAGAUAUUUUUUUAUGAAUUUGUAGGAUCAAUGAAUAUAUACUCUCUAUAUGUAGGUUUUUUAUGGCCAUGAAAUAGCACCUAGCACAAUUCUCGACAUGUGGUAGGUCCUCCAGAGAUGUUAGCGGAAUUAAUGGAUAUGAUAUUAAAAUGUGGGAGCAGUUGUCUAAUAUUAACUGUCUUAAGUGAUAGUGAAAUUCAGCAAUCUAUUCAUUCUUCCAAUCAACAGAUCAUUUCCUGAAUGCUUUAAAUGUGCAAGGCAUUCUUGUUGGGAAGUGAAUCCUGAAGACAUGAAUUCAGCAGCUAAUUAAUGAAGAUAAGAUGUGGGCCAAACAAAAAUCUGUACAGAGUAGAAAUAAGUGCCACAGUAGUGGUUGGAUAGAAAACUAUACGAGUCUAGAGGAAGACAAGAUUGCAUCUAACAGUGAAUCAAGGAAAGCUUCUUUAAAAAAUAUAAUAUUUAUUUAUUUGAGAGAGAGAGAGAG